rnacentral:rRNA from 1 species
CCUACGGGUGGCAGCAGUAGGGAAUAUUGCUCAAUGGGGGCAACCCUGAAGCAGCAAAGCCGCGUGAAGGAUGAAGGUUUUCGGAUUGUAAACUCCUUUUGUUAGAGAAGAUAAUUACGGUAUCUAACGAAUAAGCACCGGCUAACGCCGUGCCAGCAGCGGCGGUAAUACGGAGGGUGCCAGCGUUACUCGGAUGCACUGAGCGUAAAGAGCGCGUAGGUGGGAUAGCAAGUCAGAUGUGAAAGCCUACGGCUUAACCAUAGAACUGCAUUUGAAACUGUUAGUCUAGAGUAUGGGUGAGGUAGGUGGAAUUCGUGGUGUAGGGGUAAAAUCCGUAGAGAUCAAGAGGAAUACUCAUUGCGAAGGCGACCUGCUAGACCAUCACUGACGCUGAUGCGCGAAAGUGUGGGGAGCAAACAGGAUUAGAUACCCCUGUAGUC